CGCGUAGGUGGUAGUGCAAGUCUGGGGUGGAAUCCCAGGGCUUAACCCUGGAACUGCCUUGGAAACUGUAUUACUUGAGUCAGUGAGGGGAGGGUAGAAUUCCUGGUGUAGCGGUGAAAUGCGUAGAUAUCAGGAGGAAGGCCUGUGGCGAGGGCGGCCCUCUGGCGCUGAACUGACACUGAGGCGCGAAAGCGUGGGGAGCAAACAGGAUUAGAUACCCUGGUAGUCCACGCCCUAAACGGUGGGUACUAGGUGUAGGGCUCGUAAGGGUUCUGUGCCGAAGCGAAAGCAUUAAGUACCCCGCCUGGGGAGUACGGCCGCAAGGUUGAA
rnacentral:rRNA from 1 species